rnacentral:rRNA from 1 species
AGUGGCGGACGGGUGAGUAACGCGUGAGAAUCUGCCUUGGGGUCGGGGACAACCACUGGAAACGGUGGCUAAUACCGGAUAAGCCGAUUGGUGAAAGAUUUAUUGCCCGAAGAGGAGCUCGCGUCUGAUUAGCUAGUUGGUGAGGUAAGAGCUCACCAAGGCAGCGAUCAGUAGCUGGUCUGAGAGGACGAUCAGCCACACUGGGACUGAGACACGGCCCAGACUCCUACGGGAGGCAGCAGUGGGGAAUUUUCCGCAAUGGGCGAAAGCCUGACGGAGCAAGACCGCGUGAGGGAGGAAGGCUCUUGGGUUGUAAACCUCUUUUCUCAGGGAAGAAGCUCUGACGGUACCUGAGGAAUCAGCCUCGGCUAACUCCGUGCCAGCAGCCGCGGUAAUACGGAGGAGGCAAGCGUUAUCCGGAAUUAUUGGGCGUAAAGCGUCCGCAGGUGGCGAUUCAAGUCUGCUGUCAAAGCACGGGGCUUAACUCCGUAAAGGCAGUGGAAACUGAAUAGCUAGAGUGCCAUAGGGGUAGAGGGAAUUCCCGGUGUAGCGGUGAAAUGCGUAGAGAUCGGGAAGAACAUCGGUGGCGAAAGCGCUCUACUGGACGGCAACUGACACUCAGGGACGAAAGCUAGGGGAGCGAAUGGGAUUAGAUACCCC